rnacentral:lncRNA from 1 species
UUUUUUUUUUUUUUGAGUCGGUUUUUAUUUAUUUACUUUAAUUUAUUUUGCUAUGAUUGUGACUCAGAAAUUUCUGAUCUUCCUCUACAUCUAUCUAAAUGCCCAGGGUCAUAUCCAGCUGAUGAUGCAAAAGUAAUCCUGCAGAGGCAAAUCUUUUCAGUACUGAAACUGGGAUAAUUUUCAUUAAAGACGUAAAGAUUUAAAGAGCAGUAGAGACAUGAGAGGAAGUAUAGUUACAUGUGAUUCUGUAGGAGAGUCAGACUCUCCACCUCUUGGCUUGGGAAGGGUGACAUACUAGUACUAUGUAACAACUAGCUAUCCAGAAUAAAAAAGUGUACCUGUAAGCACACUCAUAAGUUCGUAAUAAAUGUCACCCACAUAAAGAAUAUGUAAGACAACUCAUAUUAAAACACACAUUCCAUUCAUCAAUUAUAUUGUAAUUGAUAAUACAAUAAUUACCAUCACACCAAAAGUUUUCGAUUUUGUCAAACUCCUGUUUCCAUAGCAACAUUUGAUUGCAACUGACAAAGGAGAGAGAGUAGGUCCGCCUCUUGAAGCUGGCUGAUAGCUGCUUCAUUUAUGUAAAGACCAAAGCAAACACUACCACAUCUCAAACCCUUGCUUGUCAGCCAUCGAUGUAAGCAACCUGUUUGUUGAAACAUUUUUUUUAAUCCUAGAAGAAAAUAUCCUUGACUUUUAAAUUUUUUUUAUUAUUAUUUAUUUAUUUAUUUAUUUAUUUAUUUAAUUUUUAGUGCAGUUCCCAGUGUGAUGUCUACAGGCACAGCACAGUUCUUAUCUGUGCUGUUGAGUGCUCCAGUCACUUUUGUAAGACUUUAGUUAGACAUUGCUUUCAUGGGCUGUCUUCAGAACAAAUAAAUCAAACCUUGGUCUUUGGUGUUUGUAGUUUCACUGAUAUUGAUGCUUUUGUGGCCCAUUUCAAGCUACUGAAUGGUAUCGCUGAAGGUGUGGUUGGGAAAAGAUGCCUGAUUACAUGUCAGUAGCUAACAUACUUCACAGAUACCAUAGGGACUCUAAGUAGCUAAUAGGGAUGUGCAGUAAGAAUUACUAGGAAAUGAUCAUUCUGGGAUAUUUAUUACCUUUCUUUCCAAUAUUGUUUGUUUAAUUGGCAGUUUAUGUACUUUAAUCUUCAGCAAUGCCUGUGUUUAAUAACCAGCUUCUAAAUUUUCUGAAAAUGUGAUAAUUGGCCCUUACGAGCUCCUGUGGGCUGGUUAUGGAACAUUACCUGAAUAGAAGCCAGUUUUCUGAACUCACAGCUAUGUCACAGAAUUAUGUCCCUGCUAUUAUGUGGGAAUACAAAUAAAUAAGCACAUUUUCAUUUUUGCAUACAAAUACAGCUAUCCAGUAACUAACAAAUGUGGACGCCAGAGUUGAGAGGGAUUCCUAAACAGGCAAGUUGGAUGGCAUCGAGAGGCUUUCUCUGUCCUGUCUGGGAGACUGUUUCAUAUCAGUGGAUAUUCUGACAUGGACCGGUACCUUGCAUGGAACGCAGCCUGCUGAUUGCAGCCACACUGGUUUUUGAUGCCUUUGCACUCUCCACAAGCUCUGGUAUCCAGCAAUGGUGUGAUGUUGGUUUUUACUUUUCCACUUUUAUACUCGUUUUGUAAAAGGACAUUUAGCUUGCAAUUAAAAUUUGAUGGUGAUGCUGGGUGGUGGUGGUGCACGCCUUUAAUCCCAGCACUUGGGAGGCAGAGGCGGGCGGAUUUCUGAGUUCAAGGCCAGCCUGGUCUACAAAGUGAGUUCCAGGACAGCCAGGGCUACACAGAGAAACCCUGUCUUGAAAAACAAAAAAGACAACAACAACAAAAAAUUUGAUGGUGUUGUAGCUGCUGUGGCUACAGAUUGGAACUCUUUGUGAAAGCUGUGUAUAGGAUUAAAAUUAAUAUUCAGGAGCUAAAAAUUUGAAGCUGUCUGGCAC